AUUAUUUAGCUUCUGUGGUGGUGGGCGUGUACGAACAGUUCGCUUCUAGCUGCAAGCUACAAUGACAAAUAACAUUAGUGACUAUCGUAAGCUACAUUUUUUUCAUCGUCAGGCUGUUUCUUGGUAGCACAGACUCUGUCGAGAUUAACGCGAAAUUAAACCGUUUUGGCGAGUGUUUUGCCACAUAGAAAGCCCUAAAACGUUAUCGUUUUAGCUAGCUAGUUAAUCUUUAAGUUACCAAUAAGCUAAGACACACGAGACAAUUGACUUUAAUAGAUAACGGUGAUUCAGCUUGCUAGCUAGAAAAAUAGCUAACUACAUCUUGAAAGCCUCAACACCCAUAACGUAACAUUCAUUGAUGUUAAGGUCCAUACUUUGUUGUAUGUCGUUUUCGGAUCUCGACAGUGGUAUAUUUAUUGCUGCGUUUUGAUCUACCAAGAUGUAUGGGAUGUCGGGAUGACAGGAAAAUGGCAAACGGGGUUGGAAAACACAAGCUACUUGUCAUUGGACCAAUAGAGCCAUGGUCAGUGAGGGAGAAGCUGUGUUUGGCCACAUCUGUCAUGAAGAGUGGAGACCAGAACUGGGUAUCUGUCAGUCGAGCCAUCAAGCCAUUUGCAGAACCCGGGCGACCACCUGACUGGUUCUCUCAAAAGCACUGUGCCUCCAAGUACUCUGAGCUCCUGGAAACAACAGAGGCCCCAAAGCGGAAACGUGGUGAGAAAAGUGAAGUGGUGGAGACAGUGGAGGACGUGAUAGUACGCAGACUGACAGCUGACAGGAUUGAUGAACUAAAAAGACUGAUCAAAGAAACACAGGAGAAGCACAGGAAGCUGAAGAGAGAGACUGAACUGAUUCAAGCCGGGCAUCUAGAUUCCAAACUAGAAGAGUUAUGGGAAGAGGUUCUUCAGAAGGAGAAACUGGAGGAACAAGAAACAGAGUUGAAAAGAAAAAACACAAUAGCUUCUUAUCAGGCCAGACAGGUGGCAAAUAACACACCUAAGAGAGUCCCAAGCAUCACCAUGCAUUCACCCUCAGACUCCCCAAGCAAGGAGUCCUCUCCAGGUGACCCACUUGAGUGCUUGACACUAGAUCUUGUAUCAACAAAAAAUGCUUCUGGAUCAACCAGAUUAAUGUCCAUUGCUGAGUCUUCUGGACCUGGUAAUGAUGACAUCAGCCUCGGGUCACUUCUGGAUGAGCCCACCCAAAAGAAGAUUCUGGGCCAGAAAGGCACACCCCCACCAUCUCCGCUCCUGUCAGAGUUAUUGAAGAAAGGCAGCAUCUUGGCCACAAAUUCCAGACUGAUUGGGGAGGGUGACGUGACCCCUGGUAAUAUGACAGCAGCAAACGACUUGCAGCUGGCUCUGCCUUGCCAACCUCUCUCUCAGGCAACAGGUGCCCCGAUGUUAUCCCGUCUCCUGGAGGCAAGUCCCACCAAGUUUUCUGCUCCGUUAGGUUUCAUGGUCAGUGCUGACUCAGCCUCCAGUGCUCCUCUCUCUGCUGCCACUCCUGUGCCUGUUGACUCUGCUGCAAGUACAGAGAUGGAUGUUAUGGUGCCAUCUUUGACCCCUGGAUGCCAACCGGUCUCUGCAGAGGAUAAAGUGUCAGAGCUCAGUGAGGAAGAUGUGUCUGGGUCCUACAUGGGGGAUGAGCUGGACUUGAAGACAGUGGGGGACAUUAUUGCCAUCAUUGAGGACAAGGCAGAUGAGACUGUAGAGGCUUUGGAUGCAGCUGCAGUUGAGGCUGCGCUGUCACUGUGUGAGGAGAACGGCCAUGCUUUGUCUGGUGGCUGGGAGGCCGGGCCUUUCCAACCCCAUGAGUCUCACCCCGCAGUGCCCACAAGGGACCCACAGUCCUUGUCUUUUCACUGUUGUAUGGAGGGGAAGACAGACUUGUUAGAAGUUCAGCGUGGGACUUCAGCUUCAAUCUCCUCUGUUUGCAACACUCGAGAUAACGGUCUUGCAGCAUUCCCAAUGGGACUAAGGGGCCUUCCUCCCACCUCCUCAUCCUCACACAGCUCAAAGAGUUUGGAGCACUGCUACACUGGAGCACCUCCACAACCUGAGGCCAUGAGAGAGACUGAAUUGUUGGCACACCAGAAAAGCCAAAUUUCAAGGGGUGUUACUAUAAAAUGUGAGGGUAAGAAGUGGACACAGCAAAGACCUGAAAAAGCUCAUAGAGACUCAGUGUUAGAAGAUAGCCCACUGACAGAAAGGCAUCCCAAGGAGAUGAAAGCGGAGGAGGGAAUAAGUGUUGAGGGAGAAGAGAAUGCCUCAGGGACUAAACUGUACAAUGAGCUCAAUGGGCCAGAUGUGUGUGGAGAAGAAGACGGUGAUGGGGUGGAGGGAUUCUUGUCAGAGCCAGAUGGCGAGAUGGAGCUUGAACCUGCGGCCAGCGAGAGUGAGGAUGGAUACAGCCUCCAUGCGGCCUCCUCGUCUCUACAGCUCCACACAACCGCAGAGUCCAUCCCCAGCAGCCCUGCCUCAUCGCAGUUUUCUGUGUGCAGUGAGGACCUGGAAGCGCUACAGGCUCACAAGAUCUGGAAGAAAGCCAUUAUGCUGGUGUGGCGUGCAGCGGCCAAUCACAGGUAUGCAAAUGUCUUCCUGCAGCCAGUAACAGAUGAAAUUGCACCUGGGUACCACAGUAUUGUGCAGAGGCCCAUGGACCUUGCCGCCAUAAAAAAGAACAUUGAGACUGGUGUGAUUAGGACCACCGCUGAGUUCCAGAGGGACAUCAUGCUGAUGUUUCAGAAUGCGGUCAUGUACAACAGCCUGGAUCAUGACGUGUACCUUAUGGCUCUGGAGAUGCAGCGUGAUGUCCUGGAGCAGAUCCAGCAGUUUCUGGCUACCCAGCUUAUCAUGGAGACGUCAGAGUCUGGUAUCAGCGCCAAGAGCCUGAGGGGCCGUGAGAGCACACGCAAACAGGACUCUACUGACAAGGUGCUUCCCUAGAAUUUUGACAAAAGCAGAGAGUACAGAAGAAGAGACAAGGGACAUUGUCUCCAUGUCCUCUCCUGCCUUCCUUCUUUCUCUUUUUGAUGGAGGCACCAGAGGGCGCCGUUGUGCCAUAGAAGCUGACCUUAAAAUGAAGAAAUGAACCAACAGUAUGUGGACAGAAUCCAAUAGUGUUGCUGGGUUGAAGUCAAAGGUGUGAAGCCACAAGACUGAACUUAUUAUGUCAGUUGCACCGAUUCUUACUGCAUAAAAUGCAGUAUAACCUUAUUUGCACUCUAAAUUAAAUGGGUAGACAGUGAAAUGGAGAAGCCUAUUUCCUCUGAGACAGCCAUACGGACAUGGAUUACAAACUGUAUAAUCCCAGAUUACAGUGAUGCAGAUCGCUUAGGCUGAGCCCGUUCUGGAUUCCAUCAGGUUUUCUAAAUGAAGUAAAAGUUACUCUGAAAUUAAACCUGGAUUCUGGUUCUGGUAGGACUUCAGAUUAGUGUGGUGGAUUGCGUGAAAACAUAUCAAGUUGGUGAUGUGUUAAACCAGAGGCCAAAGAGUCUGAUUAAUUUAGAAGUUGUAAAUGGUCAUACUCAUUUCAAAUAGAAACAUUUACAUUUUUUGUAUGGGCUCAAUUGAGUUUUUUUAGUUUUCUAAUUUUAAAAACGUUGAGAUCAUGUUUAAAUAUGGCUGUAUUGUUUGAGCCUAAUUGAUUUCAUCUAGGCUAGACUUAUUCUUAUUCAAUUUCAGUAUUUCUGAGAAAACAUCAUGUUAUUAAACUGUUUAGUGAAAACGUUUAAACAAUAAAUCUUCAUAAAACCACCAACACACCA